ensembl:snRNA U6 U6 spliceosomal RNA
GUGCUUGCUUCGGCAACACAUAUACUAAAAUUGGAACAAUACAGAGAAGACUAACUUGGCCCCUGCAUAAGGAUGACAUGCAAAUUUGUGAAGCAUUCCAUUAAAUG